rnacentral:lncRNA from 10 species
GGCUGUCACCGAGCGCCUGGCACGGCCGGGCCAUGCCCCGGGGAAGGAGGGACCAGGGCCGGGGGCGGGAGCCAGCCCUUGUGCUCGCAGCCCUGGGUUCGGAGCCCAGCUGCCCGGGAAGGUUUCCAGAUCUCCCUGAGCCUCAGUUUCCCCAUCUGUAAACUGGGUGGUGGUGGCUUCGUCCCCCGCUUUGAGAGGACAGCAGGAGAGGCGUCCUGAGAAGUGAGUUCGCCUGGAAGCUGCCGGGCUGUAGUUUGCGUUGAUACCACCGAUCUUCCCGGUCACUCUAGGAGACGGGCCAUAUCCCCGUUUUACAAAUGAGGAAACUAACUCAGCGAGGGGAGACGCCGUGUCCAGGGACACACAUGCACAUUUGCGAGCGGGUGAAAAUUUCUGUGAAUGUUUAUAAGCACAUGGAACGGGCAUCUUUGUGGCUGCGGGAGUUGCACGGGUGCGUAUGUAAUGGCUGUAUGUACAUCUGUACGUUUAAUGUGCAGUUGCAUGCAUAGUGCCAUGCACAAUCUCUGUGCACACCUUUGUGGUUUCUUUGCAUAUGCAUCUGUGUCAUUCCCCUUCACACACGUGUGUCUGUGUGGGUAUCUUCCCCUGAGUGCACGAACAUUUCUGUGGGUGCUUGUGCCUCUGUGCACAUUCUGAGAGGUGCCCUGGGUGUGUGCAAGGGCACACUCAUUAGGGGUCACAGCACACUGCCUGCCAUGGGGAGGAGCGUGCUUUUCCGGGUUUGCUGGAGGACAGAGAGAAUGGGGUGGAGCUCGGCUGCUGGUUGCCUGAUGGGGGAUGCUGAGGGAGGCAGAAGCCAUCCAGCGCCACCCAGCUGCCCCUCACCCCUGCCUUCCCACUGCCCAGCUGGGGUUCAGGAAAAUGGCUUCCUCCUGCUUCCCGCAGGCCUGCAGGGCUGGUAGGGGCGGGAGCCUGCCGCAGCCUCGAGCAGGCUGAGAUCUCCUGGGGCCCUUGCCAAGGGAGCCUCUCAAGCGCCUCUGAGGUUACUGAGCCGUGCUGCGCUCCUGUGUCCACUGCGUGCGCUCGUCGCAGCUGCGCCUGGGCCUCUUUUCUAAAGGUGCCGUGCUCCAGUGGCCGGCUGUGGAUCCUGGCUUCUCUCGAGUUUUUCUCCAUCUCACAGCCCUGGCUUCAAAGUGCAGGCCGGGGGUGGGCCAGGGCUCUCCUCUUCCGCAACUGGAGCUGCCCAGGCAAGCCAGACACACAAGCAUGUCCGUCCUUGGGCUGCAUCCUGGCUGACAGCGAUGUAGCCCCCGGUGCAGAAAAUCAGCUUGCGGGCGAUAUCUCAGUAAUUCAGAACACUUUACCCCAACCCCGAACACCCUCUCUCUGUGUUCCUGUCACCCCUGCACCGGGGAUCAGCUACUCACCUUCUGGUGUGACCCCUCAUCCUCUAAAGACCUGGGGUCACCCAGAGUCCUCUCUCCCCACUCAGAGUGUCCCUUCUGGGUACCCAGAAAGACACCCUGGCCGACACGCUGGCCUCUCCCUUCCUGCACCCCAUCAUCCUCAGGGACCUCCACUGUGCCCCCUGUACCACAGACACCCUGACCUGAUCACUGCCUCCUCGGCCCCAUUCUGAGGUCUGAAGGUCAGAUAUCCCUAGCUCCACACUGCCCCUGGCCACCUAGCCCUCACUGUCCUCAGAAGCACUUUAAGCUCACCCCCCUCUUCCAGAACCCUCUGUCCCCACAGAUCCCACCCCUCCCAGAACUCCUCAUGCCUACCACUUUCCAUACAAUAUCCUGUGACAGUUCCGCCCUGGUGCCAGCCCCAGCUGGGGGAACCCAGACCAGCCUCACCAGACUUGACCUUUAAGCAAUGGCCUUGUCACUCUAACCCAAUCUCUGACACGUAUCCUUCGGUUUCCCUGCUGGCUCUCUGCAGGUCACUCAUGAGGCCGCCCACGUGGCGCUUGUUGCUUCACCUCUCGAGUAACUGACGGUAUGUUCUGGCCCUCAGCUCUCCCGGGCAGUGUCCAUCACACUCAUGGCUUCCUAGACUUCCAUCUCCGGUCUAAUCACCUUCCGAACGCCAGAACCAUCACGUCUGCUGCCCUUGAACACCUCCCCUAGGUGUCCCUGUGGGCCACCCAGGUUCCCUCCACCCCAGUCUUCCCCACCUGCUUCUCCUUCAUGCUUCCCUCUCAGGGAGUUUGAGACCAGGCUGACCAACAUGGAGAAACCCCGACUCUACUAGAAAUACAAAAUCAGCUGGGUGUGGUGGCGCAUGCCUGUAAUCCCAGCUACUCGGGAGGCUGAGGCAGAAUUGCUUGAGCCUGGGAGGCGGAGGUUGCAGUGAGCCGAGAUUGCACCAUUGCACUCCAGCCUGGGCAACAAGAGCAAAACUCCGUCUCAAAAAAAAAAAAAAAAAAAAAGUAAAAGUAAAAGAAAGUCAAUCACCAAUAAUGCUGGAAUAUGUCAACUUUUCUCCCACCUCUUGCCACUGAUCCAGACCCCAUUCCCUCUGCCCGGGUGAUCCCUUAUAGCUACCCAGGGCUGCGGCUUUGCUCCAUUCAAGCCAUUUUCCACGCAGCAGCAGCCAGGGCCGUCUUUCCAGAGUGUAUUAGGUUGGUGCAAAAGUAACUGUGGUUUUUGCAAUUAAAAGUAAUUGUAGGCCAGGCACAGCGGCUCAUGCCUGUAAUCGCAGCACUUUGGGAGGCUAAGACAGUUGGAUCACUUGAGGUCAGGAGUUCGAGACCCACCUGGCCAACAUAGUGAAACCUGGUCUCCACUAAAAAUACAAAAAUUAGCUGGGCAUGGUGGCACACGCCUGUAAUCCCAGCUCCUGGGGGGGUGGGGGGGCAGGGCUGAGGCAGGAGAGUCGCUUGAACCCAGGAGACGACAGCUGCAGUGAGCUGAGAUCACGCCACUGCACUCCAGCCUAGGCGACAGAGUGACUCUGUCUCAAAAAAAAAAAAAAAAAAGGAAUUGCAAAAACCGCAAUUACUUAAUAGAUCUGACCAAGACUCUCCCCAGGUUCAAACCCCGGCUUCAAACCUUUUGCUCCUUAUAGUCUUUUUUUAAAACUCUUAUCUGUGGCUCAUUGUGUCUCAAGACAGCCAAGCAAACCGAACUGCUAGGAAUUUUCCCAAUGGAACAUUCUCUCUGCAAGUCCUUUGCUCUUGCGGUUGCUCCUCCAGGAGCUCCUGCCUCCCUCUUCUCUUCCCUUCCUUGAGGCUCAGCAUGGGAGAGGCCCUGCUGCAGGUGCCCUCUGACCUCUCAGGUAGGGGAGGGGGCCUCUGUCCUCUGCAAACCUGCGCUGAGUGCUCUGGAUGGUUCCGUCCCUUGGAUUGGGCCUCCCCAAGGGCAAGACCCUGCCUGGUUCACCCUGGCCGCUCAUGCAGAGGCCUGCCUAACAUAGCUGCUGAAUGAAUGAAUGAAUGAAUUGAAUUGAAUAAUGGACAAAGCCCAACAGGGAGGGUUAGCAUAAAGGGGAGACAGG